UACGUAGGGUGUAAGCGUUGUCCGGAAUUACUGGGCGUAAAGAGCGCGCAGGCGGUCGUUCAAGUCGCGUGUGAAAGCCCCCGGCUCAACUGGGGAGGGUCACGCGAUACUGAUCGACUCGAAGGCAGGAGAGGGUAGUGGAAUUCCCGGUGUAGCGGUGAAAUGCGUAGAGAUCAGCAGGAACACCCGUGGCGAAGGCGGCCCCCUGGGCCGUACCGUGACGCCUGAGGCGCGAAGGCUAGGGGAGCGAACGGGG
rnacentral:rRNA from 1 species